GGGUUGUGAGGUUAAGCGACUAAGCGUACACGGUGGAUGCCCUGGCAGUCAGAGGCGAUGAAGGACGUGCUAAUCUGCGAUAAGCGUCGGUAAGGUGAUAUGAACCGUUAUAACCGGCGAUUUCCGAAUGGGGAAACCCAGUGUGUUUCGACACACUAUCAUUAACUGAAUCCAUAGGUUAAUGAGGCGAACCGGGGGAACUGAAACAUCUAAGUACCCCGAGGAAAAGAAAUCAACCGAGAUUCCCCCAGUAGCGGCGAGCGAACGGGGAGCAGCCCAGAGCCUGAAUCAGUGUGUGUGUUAGUGGAAGCGUCUGGAAAGGCGCGCGAUACAGGGUGACAGCCCCGUACACAAAAAUGCACAUGCUGUGAGCUCGAUGAGUAGGGCGGGACACGUGGUAUCCUGUCUGAAUAUGGGGGGACCAUCCUCCAAGGCUAAAUACUCCUGACUGACCGAUAGUGAACCAGUACCGUGAGGGAAAGGCGAAAAGAACCCCGGCGAGGGGAGUGAAAAAGAACCUGAAACCGUGUACGUACAAGCAGUGGGAGCACGCUUAGGCGUGUGACUGCGUACCUUUUGUAUAAUGGGUCAGCGACUUAUAUUCUGUAGCAAGGUUAACCGAAUAGGGGAGCCGAAGGGAAACCGAGUCUUAACUGGGCGUUAAGUUGCAGGGUAUAGACCCGAAACCCGGUGAUCUAGCCAUGGGCAGGUUGAAGGUUGGGUAACACUAACUGGAGGACCGAACCGACUAAUGUUGAAAAAUUAGCGGAUGACUUGUGGCUGGGGGUGAAAGGCCAAUCAAACCGGGAGAUAGCUGGUUCUCCCCGAAAGCUAUUUAGGUAGCGCCUCGUGAAUUCAUCUCCGGGGGUAGAGCACUGUUUCGGCAAGGGGGUCAUCCCGACUUACCAACCCGAUGCAAACUGCGAAUACCGGAGAAUGUUAUCACGGGAGACACACGGCGGGUGCUAACGUCCGUCGUGAAGAGGGAAACAACCCAGACCGCCAGCUAAGGUCCCAAAGUCAUGGUUAAGUGGGAAACGAUGUGGGAAGGCCCAGACAGCCAGGAUGUUGGCUUAGAAGCAGCCAUCAUUUAAAGAAAGCGUAAUAGCUCACUGGUCGAGUCGGCCUGCGCGGAAGAUGUAACGGGGCUAAACCAUGCACCGAAGCUGCGGCAGCGACGCUUAUGCGUUGUUGGGUAGGGGAGCGUUCUGUAAGCCUGUGAAGGUGUGCUGUGAGGCAUGCUGGAGGUAUCAGAAGUGCGAAUGCUGACAUAAGUAACGAUAAAGCGGGUGAAAAGCCCGCUCGCCGGAAGACCAAGGGUUCCUGUCCAACGUUAAUCGGGGCAGGGUGAGUCGACCCCUAAGGCGAGGCCGAAAGGCGUAGUCGAUGGGAAACAGGUUAAUAUUCCUGUACUUGGUGUUACUGCGAAGGGGGGACGGAGAAGGCUAUGUUGGCCGGGCGACGGUUGUCCCGGUUUAAGCGUGUAGGCUGGUUUUCCAGGCAAAUCCGGAAAAUCAAGGCUGAGGCGUGAUGACGAGGCACUACGGUGCUGAAGCAACAAAUGCCCUGCUUCCAGGAAAAGCCUCUAAGCAUCAGGUAACAUCAAAUCGUACCCCAAACCGACACAGGUGGUCAGGUAGAGAAUACCAAGGCGCUUGAGAGAACUCGGGUGAAGGAACUAGGCAAAAUGGUGCCGUAACUUCGGGAGAAGGCACGCUGAUAUGUAGGUGAAGUCCCUCGCGGAUGGAGCUGAAAUCAGUCGAAGAUACCAGCUGGCUGCAACUGUUUAUUAAAAACACAGCACUGUGCAAACACGAAAGUGGACGUAUACGGUGUGACGCCUGCCCGGUGCCGGAAGGUUAAUUGAUGGGGUCAGCGCAAGCGAAGCUCUUGAUCGAAGCCCCGGUAAACGGCGGCCGUAACUAUAACGGUCCUAAGGUAGCGAAAUUCCUUGUCGGGUAAGUUCCGACCUGCACGAAUGGCGUAAUGAUGGCCAGGCUGUCUCCACCCGAGACUCAGUGAAAUUGAACUCGCUGUGAAGAUGCAGUGUACCCGCGGCAAGACGGAAAGACCCCGUGAACCUUUACUAUAGCUUGACACUGAACAUUGAGCCUUGAUGUGUAGGAUAGGUGGGAGGCUUAGAAGUGUGGACGCCAGUCUGCAUGGAGCCGACCUUGAAAUACCACCCUUUAAUGUUUGAUGUUCUAACGUUGACCCGUAAUCCGGGUUGCGGACAGUGUCUGGUGGGUAGUUUGACUGGGGCGGUCUCCUCCUAAAGAGUAACGGAGGAGCACGAAGGUUGGCUAAUCCUGGUCGGACAUCAGGAGGUUAGUGCAAUGGCAUAAGCCAGCUUGACUGCGAGCGUGACGGCGCGAGCAGGUGCGAAAGCAGGUCAUAGUGAUCCGGUGGUUCUGAAUGGAAGGGCCAUCGCUCAACGGAUAAAAGGUACUCCGGGGAUAACAGGCUGAUACCGCCCAAGAGUUCAUAUCGACGGCGGUGUUUGGCACCUCGAUGUCGGCUCAUCACAUCCUGGGGCUGAAGUAGGUCCCAAGGGUAUGGCUGUUCGCCAUUUAAAGUGGUACGCGAGCUGGGUUUAGAACGUCGUGAGACAGUUCGGUCCCUAUCUGCCGUGGGCGCUGGAGAACUGAGGGGGGCUGCUCCUAGUACGAGAGGACCGGAGUGGACGCAUCACUGGUGUUCGGGUUGUCAUGCCAAUGGCACUGCCCGGUAGCUAAAUGCGGAAGAGAUAAGUGCUGAAAGCAUCUAAGCACGAAACUUGCCCCGAGAUGAGUUCUCCCUGACCCUUUAAGGGUCCUGAAGGAACGUUGAAGACGACGACGUUGAUAGGCCGGGUGUGUAAGCGCAGCGAUGCGUUGAGCUAACCGGUACUAAUGAACCGUGAGGCUUAACCUUACAACGCCGAAGGUGUUU
rnacentral:rRNA from 1 species